GUUUUCGUCGAGGUCCGCGUUCAUGGAUUGUAAACACUGUUGAGUUCGGUUUACAUAAGAAUUUGAAAUGUAUACGUAUCCGUCCGAUCCGUGCAUAGAUUUGAUUUACUGAUCGAUCGAUGACCGUUGUCACGGUAACUCUCACAUAGGUUGUUUGACUUAUCUGACGGAUUCUAUGGGUCAUCGAUCACCGAUCACUCAUCGAUCAGUCAAACAUCCGUCACCGAUCAU
rnacentral:lncRNA from 1 species